GACGAACGCUGGCGGCGUGCUUAACACAUGCAAGUCGAACGGAAAGGCCCUGCUUUUGUGGGGUGCUCGAGUGGCGAACGGGUGAGUAACACGUGAGUAACCUGCCCUUGACUUUGGGAUAACUUCAGGAAACUGGGGCUAAUACCGGAUAGGAGCUCCUGCUGCAUGGUGGGGGUUGGAAAGUUUCGGCGGUUGGGGAUGGACUCGCGGCUUAUCAGCUUGUUGGUGGGGUAGUGGCUUACCAAGGCUUUGACGGGUAGCCGGCCUGAGAGGGUGACCGGCCACAUGGGGACGGGGAUACGGCCCAGACCCCUACGGGGGGCAGCAGGGGGGAAUUUUGCACAAGGGGGGGAGGCCUGAUCCAGCAACCCCGCGGGGGGGAUGGCGGCCUUCGGGUUGUAAACCGCUUUCGCCUGUGACGAAGCGGGAGUGGCGGUAAUGGGUAAAGAAGCCCCGGCUAACUCCGU
rnacentral:rRNA from 1 species